CCUCAAGAUGAGAUUUCCCAACUUCGGUUAUAAGAUCCCUCAAAGAUGAUGAGGUUAAUAGGUUCGAGGUGGAAGCAUGGUGACAUGUGGAGCUGACGAAUACUAAUCGAUCGAAGACUUAAUCAA
rnacentral:rRNA from 1 species